AUCUAGCUGACGAAUCCCAAAUAGGAUGAAACUGGAUGACUGCUAGAU
rnacentral:hammerhead_ribozyme from 1 species